rnacentral:lncRNA from 13 species
CUUCUGUAGAGCUGGUUGGAAAGUGCUUGAUUUUUUCCUGGGCAAAACUUCAAUGGAAAUAAAUAAUAGUUUUCAUCUCAAUUUUUCAAAGGAAAAAUUUCAAUUUUUUGGCUGGAACUCAAAUACCAAAAUAUUUCAACCAAAACCCAAAAUAUUUCCAUUAGGAAAUGCUACUGCAUGGUGUCCUGAGAGAUGGAAUUCCAGAUCUCAUACUCUCAUUUCACUUUUUCCAGAUGAAAGCUGCUGCAUCACUGAAGUUGUAUUUCCUAAUUCCUGGUGGGACACACACUAGAGAAAUGAAUGGGGAUCUGAGGCUGAAGAAUACCAGCAAAUUCCCACACUACCCUUUCAGAUUAUACACAUGGAAACAUUUUGGUUUUCAAGAAAGGUCUCAAGAAAAAGGUUUCCCUGGAAAGAAAGCCCUUUUUCAAGGGCUGAGUUACAUCACUGUUAUGAAACUUCACCUUCACCCCAGGCUGAAGCUGUCUGACUUUGACCAGCCACUACAUCUCAUUCUGCACAUCAACAAACCAGAACCAUCCCAGCAUCUUUUAACACGUAAACAUCUACAGGAUGCUCAAGGCACCUCAGAUCCAGCUGUGACAGUUCAAUGAACUGAGAUCUAGAAGCCCCAUGCUUAGGCUCUCAUUUUUGAAGGUCUCCCUGAGAAUUAGUACAGUGGAUCCUUUCUCUUGAAGGAACACAACCAGGCUCUCUUGCAAGUCUUGGUGCAGCACAGAAGGACAAAAGCACUGCUGCUAUAAACCCUUAUAUACUUCCAGAGGUCACACUUCUCACAGAACUGAACUGAGACCACAGGUUGGAAGCUUCAGAAAGUUUGUGUGUUCAUUAAAGUGGAAGCUAAUUAACUGACAUAGCUGACACACUCAACUAGAACAAGUAAAGAAAUACCUCAGCAUUAUUUUCACAGAUCACACUCUUCCCACUUCCAGCAGAUGGCUUCUACGAACCUUAGACUAUAUAUAGAAAAGGAAUUACCUGAAUUCCAACCAGACUGAUUUAGGGUUGAGCAGGGCUGGCACAAAUGGGGUAAAGACAAGGAAAGGAACCAAGUCCAGACAACACUGCAACACCUCCCACAGCCAGAACAUGCACCAGCCAGAGAUAACUUCACUGACUGUUCUAAUUACCAUAUACUUUGGAACAGCUACUCUAUUUCUGCCUGUUGCCCAUAUUACUCCUCUACUUCUGGUAUUUCUUCCUCUAAUAGAGCAAUAAACAUUUUUUUUACUCACUACCAAAGUAGUUCCUUAUGUACCAGUUUAGAUACUGUGGCAAACACUCAAGAGGAGCAUGUACAUAUCCAAAUUAUAUUAAUGAACAAUCUAGAAAUUAAAUUCAUGUGCUGAU